AUUGAACGCUGGCGGCAUGCCUUACACAUGCAAGUCGAACGGCAGCGGGCCCUUCGGGGUGCCGGCGAGUGGCGAACGGGUGAGUAAUGCAUCGGAACGUACCCGGGAGAGGGGGAUAACCGGCCGAAAGGCUGGCUAAUACCGCAUGAACUCGGAAGAGCAAAGCGGGGGACCUUCGGGCCUCGCGCUCUCGGAGCGGCCGAUGUCCGAUUAGGCUAGUUGGGGGGGUAAAGGCCCACCAAGGCGACGAUCGGUAGCGGGUCUGAGAGGACGAUCCGCCACACUGGGACUGAGACACGGCCCAGACUCCUACGGGAGGCAGCAGUGGGGAAUCUUGGACAAUGGGCGCAAGCCUGAUCCAGCAAUGCCGCGUGGGUGAAGAAGGCCUUCGGGUUGUAAAGCCCUUUCGGCGGGGAAGAAAUCGGUCAGGCGAAUAGUCUGGCCGGAUGACGGUACCCGCAGAAGAAGCACCGGCUAACUACGUG
rnacentral:rRNA from 1 species